rnacentral:lncRNA from 1 species
CCCCGCCGCCUGAAUUCUGCCUGCAGGACCCCAAACCUGGUAAUCCCUCCAAUGCCCGGCUCCCGUCUCUCCUCGCUCCCUCCACGCCUUCCCCUGAUUGUCCGUGGCUGGGCCCUGGAUUCCGUUGUCUGGCAAGGCAGUCACUUCCCGGGGGCCCUGUAGAGUGGGCAGGGCUGCGGCUCCCGGGGAAACUCCAUGGCACACCCCGUGCCUUUGCCGUGCAGCCUCCUGCCCAGGCGCACCCCCAGCCUAGUGCUCUGCGGGCCUCAGGAUGGAAGCCGGGACAGUCUCUGCGGGGCCUCAGGGAUGGAAGCCGGGUCAGUCUUUGUGGGGCCCCUGGGCUACAUGCACACACCCGGGCCGACAGUUCCUGUUUUUCCUUUUCUUUUUAACUGGGAACUAAGGAAGGUCUUUGUGUGCCCGCUGACAAGGAUGAAAUUUUCCAGCUGACCACAGUAGAAAGUUCAUCAUACUGACUUAUUUGUUGCUGUGAAUGCAAGAUAAUUGCCCCUGUACCUUGUCCCUAAGACCUCGUUGAAGGACAAGACUGUAUUGGAGGCUGGCACACACUGGAGAGGCCCGUCCACACCGCAGGUGACGCGGGGGUAUUGGAGGCUGGCACACACUGGAGAGGCCCGUCCACACCGCAGGAGACAUGGGGGUAUUGGAGGCUGGCACACACUGGAGAGGCCCGUCCACACCGCAGGAGACAUGGGGGUAUUGGAGGCUGGCACACACUGGAGAGGCCCGUCCACACCGCAGGAGACAUGGGGGUAUUGGAGGCUGGUACACACUGGAGAGGCCCGUCCACACCGCAGGUGACGCGGGGGUAUUGGAGGCUGGCACACACUGGAGAGGCCCGUCCACACCGCAGGUGACGCGGGGGUAUUGGAGGCUGGCACACACUGGAGAGGCCCGUCCACACCGCAGGUGACGCGGGGGUAUUGGAGGCUGGCAGACACUGGAGAGGCCCAUCCACACCGCAGGUGACACAGGGGUAUUGGAGGCUGGCACACACUGGAGAGGCCCAUCCAUACUGCAGGUGACGCGGGGGUAUUGGAGGCUGGCACACACUGGAGAGGCCCGUCCACACCGCAGGUGACGCGGGGGUAUUGGAGGCUGGCACACACUGGAGAGGCCCGUCCACACCGCAGGUGACGCGGGGGUAUUGGAGGCUGGCACACACUGGAGAGGCCCGUCCACACCGCAGGUGACGCGGGGGUAUUGGAGGCUGGCACACACUGGAGAGGCCCGUCCACACCGCAGGUGACGCGGGGGUAUUGGAGGCUGGCACACACUGGAGAGGCCCGUCCACACCGCAGGUGACGCGGGGGUAUUGGAGGCUGGCACACACUGGAGAGGCCCGUCCACACCGCAGGAGACCCGGCGGCGCGAUCCUUCUGCAGCUGGGCAGGGGAGGGUUUCGCUUCCUCAGGGGCCUCUUCAGGGUCAUCCCUGGCACAGAGAAUCGAACCAAAGUCCCUUCUAAUCUCCCGUCAGUGGGAAUCCUUACAAACACCUGGUGAUUACACGGCUUCCAGAGAUUGAGUAAAUAUUUACAUUCCACGCUGGCUUGUUGAUAAAUAUCCCUAACAGGAGUUACUGGACUUCAAGGGAAUGAAUUCUUAGUGGAUAUCUGUAACUAUUUUAAAACCGAGAUCUCAUUUCCAAAGGAAAAAGCACAGGCCCUGCGAGUCCGCUCCGCGUUGGGUCCCCCCGGCACCGCGUGCUGCCUCCAUGUGGGUCCCCCCGGCACCCCGU